AUGUUUAGGAGUUUGCAGUUCACCCGCAAACCUCAGCGAUCCAAGCUCCCCUGGAUGACCAUCACUCACCUAGAAAAGAACAAUAACAGGACCUGUUUUGCUAAUCCAGGACUGUUCUCCAGCACUAACUCUAAAUAAUCCCUUCUGUUAGAGUCCACUUUCUGGAACCUGUUGCCUCCGUUUUCAACGUUUCCCAAACUUGGUCCGUUGUGUGAGUUGGCUGUUAAAAGUUCCAGAUAUUGCUUAAUAUCACUAGAGACAUCUAGCCGUCUUUGCAAGGUCACAUAGGUACAUUCACUCACUUUCAACCAAUAUUUCUCAAGACUGUGUUAUGCUGUGCACAGGAGACACAGAAAUAGAUGACCCAUGAUUUGUCUUCUUUUUAUUUAAAAAAAAAAAAAAGAAGAAGCUCUGUAUCUGUGAACAAGUCAGAUAGACACAGAUGAUUUCAGUAUAAUUAGGAGGAAUUACUGAGCUCAGCCCAGGGAGCUAGACUAGCUCAGAGGAGGAGUACCUGAUUCACACUGGGAAGGUGUUGGCACAGGCUUCCUGGAAGUGGAGACACUGAAUGGAAUUCUAAAGGAUGUGAUACCUUCUACAUGUCCUUUAAGAUACAGGAUGGUGGGUGUUCUUAAUGGAAAAGUAGGAGAAAAGGGUUUUCCUCGUGUGAGAAACCAUGGAGAUUAGAAAGAGCAUGAUAAUCAGAGGACAGUUCACAGCUGCGGUAUGACUGGGAUAAAACCAUCCAUCCUCCAGAUGCCAGGAGGCAGGCACAACAGUCACUGUCCUGUGGCCUUCAUUCCUUGGGGAAAACACCACAAUGGUCAUCACCUGAACAAAUGGACUGGGGAGAUGUGGAAGUGAAAGAAAGGGAACAUGUAUCAGAGACCCAGUAGCAAUGGAACAUCAAUUGGCACAGAGGAUUUGGG
rnacentral:lncRNA from 1 species